rnacentral:rRNA from 1 species
CGUGAAGUUGGAAUCGCUAGUAAUCGCGGAUCAGCAUGCCGCGGUGAAUACGUUCCCGGGCCUUGUACACACCGCCCGUCACACCAUGAGAGUCGGGAACACCCGAAGCCCGUAGCCUAACAGCAAUGAGGGCGCGGUCGAAGGUGGGUUCGAUAAUUGGGGUGAAGUCGUAACAAGGUAUC